rnacentral:rRNA from 1 species
AUUGAACGCUGGCGGCAUGCUUUACACAUGCAAGUCGAACGGUAACAGGCCGCAAGGUGCUGACGAGUGGCGAACGGGUGAGUAAUGCAUCGGAACGUGCCCAGUCGUGGGGGAUAACUACUCGAAAGAGUAGCUAAUACCGCAUACGAUCUAUGGAUUAAAGCGGGGGACCGUAAGGCCUCGCGCGGUUGGAGCUGCCGAUGUCAGAUUAGGUAGUUGGUGGGGUAAAGGCUCACCAAGCCAACGAUCUGUAGCGGGCCUGAGAGGACGACCAGCCACACUGGAACUGAGACACGGCCCAGACUCCUACGGGAGGCAGCAGUGGGGAAUUUUGGACAAUGGGCGCAAGCCUGAUCCAGCAAUGCCGCGUGCAGGAAGAAGGCCUUCGGGUUGUAAACUGCUUUUGUACGGAACGAAACGGCUCUGGUUAAUACCCGGGGCUAAUGACGGUACCGUAAGAAUAAGCACCGGCUAACUACGUG